rnacentral:sRNA from 1 species
GAGAUAAGCACAGCGUGAACAUGGUC